AACGCGAAGAACCUUACCAAGGCUUGACAUACGCCGGAAAGCAUCAGAGAUGGUGCCCCCCUUGUGGUCGGUGUACAGGUGGUGCAUGGCUGUCGUCAGCUCGUGUCGUGAGAUGUUGGGUUAAGUCCCGCAACGAGCGCAACCCUUGUCCCGUGUUGCCAGCAGGCCCUUGUGGUGCUGGGGACUCACGGGAGACCGCCGGGGUCAACUCGGAGGAAGGUGGGGACGACGUCAAGUCAUCAUGCCCCUUAUGUCUUGGGCUGCACACGUGCUACAAUGGCCGGUACAAUGAGCUGCGAUACCGUGAGGUGGAGCGAAUCUCAAAAAGCCGGUCUCAGUUCGGAUUGGGGUCUGCAACUCGACCCCAUGAAGUCGGAGUUGCUAGUAAUCGCAGAUCAGCAGUGCUGCGGUGAAUACGUUCCCGGGCCUUGUACACACCGACGCAC
rnacentral:rRNA from 1 species